rnacentral:misc_RNA from 1 species
UAUUACGAGACGGACAUUUUGCAAACGAAGACACUAAAAACUGUGAGAUAUCCCUUUCAACUGUCCUACAACAAUGUCACUAUGGGAUAUCCCAGCCUUGUGUUCUUCUACAUCAUUAGUUUUCCAGAAAAUAUAAUUAUGAGACAACUGAGAAUGCCAAAAGGGAGGAAUAGGAAAUGUCAAAAUAAACAUCUAUACCCUCUAUAUACGUCCACCCAAAAUCAUUUGUGUUACCUAAAAUUACAAUGGAAUUAACGUUUUCAGCCACCUAAACCUUGCUUAAAUAAAAUAUGGUGUUGCUUGCCGCGUUUGGAGGGCAAAAGAUAUAUUACCACCGAGACAUCACUGCAUUAACUGUUAGCUGCCAUCUUCUGAUGAUCCUAGUGCCUGCUUCUUCGCGGGAUUUUACAUGCUCCAUCCAUGGUAUGAUCAGUCAUUUAGAAGACUAGUUGUAGAUCCGAACAGGCUUGUCAAAAGUGGGUCGAUUCUGGUUGGAAGCAUAUGACCUUUUAGGACCAUUGUCAGCAUGCUCUAAUCCCAGAUACUGCUCCCAAGCACCAUAA